rnacentral:lncRNA from 1 species
UGGGUACUGAUUCUAAGCUAUGCUCUCUCUUAGGUGUUAAAGUAAUAAGCAAGUGGAGGUUUUGCCCAAACUUGUCUUGUGGUUAAUCCCAAAUCCCGAACAUAACUCAAAACGUAGAUCCACCUCUGGUCUGCUUUGUAACACAAGACACCAAGACAACUCCAUGUAAGACUCGGGAGGAGAAAAUUUUCCGCAAUAUACCAACUGCAACCCAAAAACAGUGAAAACGUCCUUAGCAUGAGUGAUCCUCCAAAAUGGACCAAAUAAGGAACUAAUAUUUGGGAGUAGAAUCAUCUAGGAGAAUACUUCCUAACCUGCCAUGAACCCUAGGCAUUGAAGAGGAAGAUGGAAGACACUGAGAUCAAAUCAAGGAAAAAUUUCAAGAGGAGAAAAUGGAGAAUAAGCAAGUCCAUACUGGAUGGCUUUUCAAUAAAGAAUGGUCAACCACAAAGAGUGAGAUCAAGAAUAUAAUUUUACAAGAAAAGACAACUCCUUUCAAUAUGUGCCAAAGCAAAGGUAAGCUCUUUUGUUAAUGUGCUUGUAUUGUUACAAAAAUUGCUAAGAGAUUUCUUUUGAUUAAUGUUCUUCAGCG